CCCAAAACCUAGCCCCACUAACUUCCCUCACUAUUUAACACCAACUAAAAUAUUUUACCUUUUUAGUAAAGACGAUCAAAAAAUUAAUUAGAGCAAUAAACCUGUACCGCAAGGGAUAGAUGAAAUAGAAUGAAACACUACUUAAGCCAAAAAUAGUAGAGACUCACCCUCGUACCUUUUGCAUCAUGAUUUAACUAGUCUAAUCAAGCAAAAAGAAUUAAAGUUUGACUUCCCGAAACCAAGUGAGCUACUUUAGGACAGCCUAGUGAGCAAACCCGUCUCUGUUGCAAAAGAGUGGGAAGAUCUUAAAGUAGAGAUUAUAUGUCUAACGAACUUGGUUAUAGCUGGUUGUUCAGGAAAAGAAUUUUAGUUCAACCUAAAGCUACCCAAAUUUCUAUAAAUACUAACCUAACUUUAGAGCUAGUCAAAUAAGUUACAGCUUAUUUGAAACAGGAUACAGCCUCCCCCCGCGGGUAAUAAACUUCAAUCUUACUUAAGUUGGCCUAAAAGCAGCCACCUUUAAUAAAGCGUCGAAGCUAACUUUAAAACACAAAAUAAAUCCCCUCCCCCAUAUAGAACCCCUCAACAGUACUGAACGAUUUUAUACCCCUAUAAAACCCUUUAUGUUAAAACUAGUAACAAGAAGUCCCCUUCUCUUCAUAUACAAGUGUAAAUCAGAGCAGAAAAUCUACUGAUCCUUAACAGCUUAAAAUUAAAGUAAAAAAUUUUCUAGAAAACCCUACUUCACUAUCUGUUAAUCUUACACAAGAGUAUAAUAAGAAAGAUUUAAAGAAAAAGAAGGAACUCGGCAAACCCUGGUUCCGCCUGUUUACCAAAAACAUCGCCUCCUGUUAACCUAUAGGAGGUCCAGCCUGCCCGGUGACCUAGUUUAACGGCCGCGGUACCCUGACCGUGCAAAGGUAGCGUAAUCACCUGUUUUUUAAUUGAAGACCUGUAUGAAUGGCAUCACGAGAAUCAAUCUGUCUCCUCUUUCUGAUCAGUGAAACUAAUCUCCCCGUGAAAAAGCGGGGAUAACCCCACAAGACGAGAAGACCCUUUGGAGCUUAAGACAAAGUAAAAUUUUGCUCCCCCCCCCCCCACCCUCUUUCUCACAUAGCAUAAACUCACUAGUCUUUGGUUGGGGCAACCGCGGGGCAAAGAAAAACCCCCGAGAUGAACUAGAGCUUUCCUAAACAAAAAGCCACAACUUUAAGUAUCAAUAAAUUGACAUUAUGACCCAAUAUAUUUGAUUAUCGAACCAAGUUACCCUAGGGAUAACAGCGCAAUCCGCCUCGAGAGUUCAUAUCGACAGGCGGGCUUACGACCUCGAUGUUGGAUCAAGGUAUCCCAGUGGUGCAGCCGCUACUAAAGGUUCGUUCGUUCAACGAUUAAAACCUCACGUGAUCUGAGUUCAGACCGGAGCAAUCCAGGUCAGUUUCUAUCUAUGAAGAGCUCUUUCCAGUACGAAAGGACAGAAACAGCACGGCCAAUGAGACCCUCACGCCGUACUAUUUGACUAAUGAUAUAUUCUUAAUUAGCCAACAUCUUUUUCCCCACUCAAGACAAGAUA
rnacentral:rRNA from 1 species